CGAAAGAGGUAUUCGCACUUGGCCUAAAUCUGAUGUAGCUUUUCGUAGGUGGCAUGCUCGCCUUGUGGGUCAUGGUCCUACUAAGGCACUUUUUGAUAGCGCUAGGAUUUCUGAUUUGUUAGAAGUCUCUAUUCGCCCCCCUACUUUUGAUUCAGCGCUCUUUCCGAUUGCUUUGAGUUUUUGGUCCCCUGAGUACAACACCUUUAUUUUUCCUCUUGGCCCCAUGUCUAUUACGUUAAGGGAUGUUGGGGCCCUGGUGAAUUUACCACCUUUGGGCGAUACCAUUUUCCCAGGUAUCUUAGUUUCUGGUGGCGCCCCACAGUUCGGUAAAAACUACACCGAUUCUUAUUCAAGCCUGCAGACCCUCCAUAAUCAUUCGAGCGCUGAGCCUACCCAUGCUGAGCGAGUGGCCUUUCUUUUAGUUUGGCUUUGUAAAUAUGUUUUGUGUGUGCCAAGUAUAAAGCCUUCUCUGAGUUAUUUACCUAUAGCGCACGAAUUGGCGCGUGGCAGGCCUUUGAAUUUAUGUUCUUUGUUUUUGGCUGCCCUUUAUAGAGGNUUGAGUUUGUGAGAGCAAUUCUAAGCUAUGGAACAAAUGUUUUGUAGUCUCUUUAGCAAUUAUAGGCAAAAACACAUGUUUUACUUAAUUGAGCUUGCAAGGGGUGGUUGAUAUCUGUUUUAAAUUUCUGUAUUUCUUAUGGAGUUCACUUUGUCCAUCUUUGCGAUAUUUGGAGACUUAGAAAUAUGCUGCUGCAUGUAAUUUGAUGACUUG
rnacentral:lncRNA from 1 species